AUGUUAUUACCACAGGUGGGAGUCACGUUGGGUCUAUUUAAACACAAUCUUACUUAAAUACAACAAAACAACAUUUUCGAAAAAACGUAUUUCCGUUUUAUUUUCAGAAAUGCCGCAGAAAGACCCUUGUCAAAAGCAAGCGUGCGCCAUCCAGAAGUGUCUACAAGCUAAUAAGUACCUGGAGAGUCUGUGCGAGGAGGUGAUCCGAGACAUGCGGAGGUGUUGUGAAGUUCAUGCUGGAAACUCGGUCUGCUGCUCCGGUUUUAAGGAGCCCCAACCGGCGGAGAACAAGAGCGAAACAUGACUAUGAGCCAUUCUCCUUGAUGUGGAGUUAGAAACCUGCACUCCAUCAAUCUAUAGGUUCUCAUUUUCAAGAGGUCAGGAUCUCAAAACAAUAUUUGCCAUCCUUUGUCCAGCCUAACCCUGGUACUAUCACAGGGCGUUUAUAAUAUCCUUUAUCAUUAUUGUGAUACAUUUUUAAUUGUGAUAAAAUAAUUUAUUUUCUAUCGUUUUAAUUUAAAUGUUUAUUUUUCUGGUGGAGUGUUUUUUUUCCCCUGUGCUAUUGCUGAUUAUUUUUCAGUGAUUGGUACAGUGUUAGUCUGGGUUAAUUUUUAAAGAGAUCCCUCUAGUAGGUGAUUUAAAUUAACACUGGCUCAGAUCAAUUCAGUUCAGUUUAUUUAUAUUGUGCCAUUUCCCAACACAUGUCAUCUCAAAGCACUUUACAGAGAAACCUCAACCAGACGAUACAGUCAGACUGAUUCAAAGUUUUCUAAGGAAAACCAGCUGAUUGCUUUGAUUAAAACGUCAUCCCUCAUACCGUCAGCAUCAGAUGAUCUGACGACCAUGUUUUGCUUUUAGAGUUUCUCAAGUUAUUGGAAGUCAUAUUUGUACUUGUUUUAAAUAUCCAAGCCAAUCAUCUCCAACAUGCCACAUAAAUACUCCACAGCAGUUGUUUUUGAAAAAGAUCUAAGUGAACAUUGCAUAGUUGGUGCAAUUAGAGACAAUAAAAUCACUUGUUUAAACCCGUUCUUAUAUGAAAAAGAACGAUGAAGCACUCUAUUGAGCAGUCCGUCCUUCAUGACUCAUUAAGGUAUAACUGAAUUCACAAAUUUCUGUUUGAUGACCUUAACCUUGCCUGGGUCACUCUUUUUCUUCUUUUUUUUCCUAAACAGUUAUGAUUUUAUUGACAAAUGUGCUUUAUUUUCUGUGAGCUGAGAGUGAAGGGUUGGUCCUUGGUUCAUAACUAAAUUAGGUUUUGCAAAGUGGGGAAUCAGCUUUGGGCAACUUCGAGGACAUCUGUUUUUGAAGCUGAUUGGCUGCAUUUCCAUCAAUUAUGAAAUAAAUUUACUGUCAUUAAAAAAGCAAACAGGAUUAUAAUUUGGCUCAAACUCCAAAAUGUUUAAAUAACCCAAGGACAUUUUGGCUAACUGUUACGACCCUCCCAGGCAACCAUCAUUAAUCCAAUUCUCCACAUCCAUUAGCUAUGGACUGCACUGAGGUAUCAGAUAAAUGUCUCUGGAGUCUUAUUUGAUGCCAUGUCUGAUAGUCAGCCUCUCACUUCUUCCACUAAUUCCCAGCUAAACAGAAAAACAUCUCGUUUUGAAUAUAUCUGGUCAGGGAGGUUUCAAAGGAAGUGGAGGUUUUCAAUCCUCAUAACCUAAGAAUGUGUUUUUAAAAUGGUAGUUUUUUUGUUUUUGAAAGUGAGAAAACCUGCUGUAAGCUUUAAUCUUAAAUAUAAAAAGGAAUAAUAACUAUGUAAAUUUUGAGUUCAUAGUUUUGAACCAAAAUCAGUUGAAUGUCUUAUGUUUUAAUGGCAUAAUUUAUGGACAUGUAUAUAAAAAAUGUAUAUAUGUAACAGGAAGAAUCACAGUGAAUGUAAAGAAAACGGUCUGAGAAAAAAGUCCUGUAUGCGAGUUUUGGUUUACUUUUGCCACAUGUAUCACCGCUUUAACAAAUAUCAGUUCAACUUACAUGAUCCUCAUCUCUUUUAAAUGGAAAUAAUCAUAUAGAAAAAGAUAUAAUCUGUCUAAUGACAAUAAUUGUGUAUUUCUGUAAUAAUAAUCGUUCAGUCUACCUGUUUAGCUGCCAAAUGCAAAUUUUGAUGUCAUUGCAACUAAAG